UGUCUAAUAUCGCUUAAUUCUGGCUUAAUGCCAGGAGCGGGGGAACCAAUCGCGGAACAUUCGUAUGAAUGCCGCUGGGGUGAAUCUUUUCAGCUAAUAACUGGAAGGAUGGGCGACUCUCACGCCCUAAUCCGACAGCUAACCUCGUAAGCGUAUAGGGAGAGGCAAC
rnacentral:sRNA from 2 species